GUCUUUGUAUUUUUCAUUUUACAAAGAUGAAUUGUACUUAUUGUUGCAGAGUCAAAAGAUCCACUUAGGGAUAAUAUGAAGAAAUCUAUAUGUGCAAGCGUAGAAAAUUCGUGUCUAUAUAGGAGUGUAUCUGCAGUGUCCUGUCAAUAGAAUAUAUCACUUAAUAAUUAAUCAGAGAAUAUGCAUGGAACUAAGUACGCCAUAAUCUUACUUAAAAAACAUCAACUUAAAGCAUUCAAAUCUCUCAACCCUGCCUAUAAUAAGAACAUCGAAUAUAUAUGAAGAUACUACCAACGCAUGAAAACUAGCACACACCACAAUAUAAAAUGCUUUCCAAAGAGUGAAAAUCAAAGGGUGACUAAUUAGUUUCUGGGCUUGAGUCUGCCUUCGUUGGCUAGCUUAAAGAGCUGUCCCUGAGCAGCUGCAGCCUUAUUGGAGGCGAGUGCAGUUAGGAAAUUCUCCCUGACUUGACUUGUAGUGAAAGGAAAUCGUCUGGCGUACAUGGAGUUGAGCAAGGCAGCAGUCCCUUCUCUGUAGAGUGUUCCAUACCCAUCAGUCCGUGUAUUUGAUAGUGCUUGUGGCAAGCUCAUGCCUGCUCCAAGCCCCGGCAAGCUAUUCGUUCCAAAUGCGCUGCCUAGGGUUCCCCACCACCCCAGGAGACCAAAUAUUAUUCCAGGAUGAUUCCUCCAGUAAUUGCAUGUGAAUGGUGAAUUUGGAUCGGGAAUAAAUGGAGGUGAGGGAACGAAAGGGGUGCUUGGAGGUGAGGGAACGAAAGGGGUGCUUGGAGGGGUCAGAAUGAUAGGUGUUGGAGGACUACCGCCAGAGCUUGGAGGAGAGGGGUAGUAUCCACCACCUCCUUGAGGAGGAUCUGAA
rnacentral:misc_RNA from 1 species